UACGUAGGGCGCAAGCGUUGUCCGGAAUUAUUGGGCGUAAAGAGUUCGUAGGCGGUUUGUCGCGUCUGCUGUGAAAACCUAAGGCUCAACCUUGGGCUUGCAGUGGGUACGGGCAGACUAGAGUGCGGUAGGGGUGACUGGAAUUCCUGGUGUAGCGGUGGAAUGCGCAGAUAUCAGGAGGAACACCGAUGGCGAAGGCAGGUCACUGGGCCGCAACUGACGCUGAGGAGCGAAAGCAUGGGGAGCGAACAGG
rnacentral:rRNA from 1 species